rnacentral:rRNA from 1 species
UUGGAGGGCAAGUCUGGUGCCAGCAGCCGCGGUAAUUCCAGCUCCAAUAGCGUAUAUUAAAGUUGUUGCAGUUAAAAAGCUCGUAGUUGAAUUUCGGGAUCAAUGUUUUGGUCAUGCCGUUGGUAUGUACUGAUAUUAUUGGUUUCUCACCUUCUAAGAACCGUAAUGCCAUUAAUUUGGUGUCACGGGGAAUUAGGACUGUUACCUUGAAAAAAUUAGAGUGUUUAAAGCAGGCUCACGCUUGAAUACAUUAGCAUGGAAUAAUGAAAUAGGACAUCCGAUUCUAUUUUGUUGGUUUCUAGGAUCGAUGUAAUGAUUAAUAGGGAUAGUUGGGGCAUUAGUAUUCAAUUGUCAGAGGUGAAAUUCUUGGAUUUAUUGAAGACUAACUACUGCGAAAGCAUUUGCCAAGGAUGUUUUCAUUAAUCAAGAACGAAAGUUAGGGGAUCGAAGACGAUCAGAUACCGUCGUAGUCUUAACCAUAAACUAUGCCGACUAGGGAUCGGAUGAUGUUAAUUUUUAAAUGACUCAUUCGGCGCCUUACGGGAAACCAAAGUGUUUGGGUUC